UGGGGAAUCUUGGACAAUGGGCGCAAGCCUGAUCCAGCCAUGCCGCGUGAGUGACGAAGGUCUUCGGAUUGUAAAGCUCUUUUGGCGGGGACGAUAAUGACGGUACCCGCAGAAUAAGCCCCGGCUAACUUCGUGCCAGCAGCCGCGGCAAUACGAAGGGGGCUAGCGUUGUUCGGAAUUACUGGGCGUAAAGCGCACGUAGGCGGAUCUAUAAGUCAGGGGUGAAAUCCCGGGGCUCAACCUCGGAACUGCCUUUGAUACUGUAGAUCUCGAGUCCGGAAGAGGUGAGUGGAAUUCCUAGUGUAGAGGUGAAAUUCGUAGAUAUUAGGAAGAACACCAGUGGCGAAGGCGGCUCACUGGUCCGGUACUGACGCUGAGGUGCGAAAGCGUGGGGAGCAAACAGGAUUAGAUACCCAGGUAGUCCCUGAGCGGGCUGGCAAGGCGCAU
rnacentral:rRNA from 1 species